GAUGCAGCAUGGUCUGGCAAAAAUCUUCAGACUAGUUUGACGUUGAAUAGUUGUUCUCUGCCGAAUUCAGCUGGGGAAAGUACCGUGGCUGCAAGUUUGGGCUCAGAAUUUUCCUCUAAUGACGAUGCUGGAAUAGGUGAAGUUCAUUCUCUUGGCUCUGUAGCAUCUGCAAAUGGUGCUCACUUCGGGUAUAAGCCAAUCACUGGAACAGGG
rnacentral:lncRNA from 1 species